rnacentral:rRNA from 1 species
CAGCAGCCGCGGGAACACAGAGGGUGCGAGCGUUAAUCGGAUUUACUGGGCGUAAAGCGUGCGUAGGCGGCUUCUUAAGUCGGAUGUGAAAUCCCUGAGCUUAACUUAGGAAUUGCAUUCGAUACUGGGAAGCUAGAGUAUGGGAGAGGAUGGUAGAAUUCCAGGUGUAGCGGUGAAAUGCGUAGAGAUCUGGAGGAAUACCGAUGGCGAAGGCAGCCAUCUGGCCUAAUACUGACGCUGAGGUACGAAAGCAUGGGGAGCAAACAGGAUUAGAUACCCGGGUAGUCCCUGUCUUUUAUAC